GAACAGUUUACUAUAUCCUGCGGUACACUGACGUUGUAAUCAUUUACCUAAAAUUCAAAUUUACCGAAGAAAAUCUAAAAUUGGCUGUCAAAGUCGAUUGUUUUGUGAAAACGAGACUAUGAAAGGGUUCCAACGAGUCUCGACCGUUAUAAGGUAAAUUAUAUCGCAAUAUAAUUAAUUGAAUUCUGUACACGAUUAAUAAUCGAAAUACAUAGACGGAUUUUAAUUUCAGGAUGCAAUUCAUGUUUGCCCCGCGGACCUGUCGGCGGCGGAAACGUUUGUUACAAGAACUAAUUAAGUGUAUACGGAGAUUAUAAAACCACAAAGAUAUUAUACGUAUUAUAAUAUUCUGUGAGACGAACAUUUUUCCUGCGAAUGUCUGUGUAAGUCGUUUUAACAAUUGCUGCGAGUUUCGCUACACGUGCAAGAAUUAGUUCUGUGUCAAUGCCCCUUCUAAAAAAAAAAAACUGUCAGAAGCAAACAUUUCAUUGAUCAAUAUUGAAAGUCAGAUUUUC